rnacentral:sRNA from 1 species
UAACACAGGUUGAUUGCGGCAAUGUAUC